GUGAGUAACACGUGGGUAACCUACCUAUAAGACUGGGACAACCUUCGGGAAACCGGAGCUAAUACCGGAUAAUAUGUUGAACCGCAUGGUUCAAUAGUGAAAGAUGGUUUGCUAUCACUUAUAGAUGGACCCGCGCCGUAUUAGCUAGUUGGUGAGGUAACGGCUCACCAAGGCAACGAUACGUAGCCGACCUGAGAGGGUGAUCGGCCACACUGGAACUGAGACACGGUCCAGACUCCUACGGGAGGCAGCAGUAGGGAAUCUUCCGCAAUGGGCGAAAGCCUGACGGAGCAACGCCGCGUGAGUGAUGAAGGUCUUAGGAUCGUAAAACUCUGUUAUUAGGGAAGAACAAACGUGUAAGUAACUGUGCACGUCUUGACGGUACCUAAUCAGAAAGCCACGGCUAACUACGUGCCAGCAGCCGCGGUAAUACGUAGGUGGCAAGCGUUAUCCGGAAUUAUUGGGCGUAAAGCGCGCGUAGGCGGUUUUUUAAGUCUGAUGUGAAAGCCCACGGCUCAACCGUGGAGGGUCAUUGGAAACUGGAAAACUUGAGUGCAGAAGAGGAAAGUGGAAUUCCAUGUGUAGCGGUGAAAUGCGCAGAGAUAUGGAGGAACACCAGUGGCGAAGGCGACUUUCUGGUCUGUAACUGACGCUGAUGUGCGAAAGCGUGGGGAUCAAACAGGAUUAGAUACCCUGGUAGUCCACGCCGUAAACGAUGAGUGCUAAGUGUUAGGGGGUUUCCGCCCACUUAGUGCUGCGAGCUACGCAUUAAGCACUCCGCCUG
rnacentral:rRNA from 1 species